GGCCCAACACAAUUUAUUAUUACUAAUCCCAUUGAGAUUAAUAGGCCCAAAUACCAGCUUAAACCCAAUUACUAGUUUGAGCCCAAUUAACCAUUUUCAGUUUUAAAUAAAUUAAAAUUAAUAACCUUCUUUAAAACAUAAAACAAGUUAAUCUCUCUCUGUUUUCUAUUUCUUCCCCACGCAGACAUCUCUCCCUCUCUCGGCCGCCUCUCUCGGCCGCCUCUCUCUCCCCCCUUCUCCGGCGAGCGUCGCCGGCUCUCGCCGCUUCCGGCGCGGCGAGGCUGACGCAUCUUCUCCCCUUCCUCUUUCUUCCCUCUCCUUCCUACAUUUAAUUCCCCAAAUUCUAAAAUCAAUUCAACCUAGGGUUUUCAAUCUCCCCCAUCAAUUUUACUCCGCUGGAGAAUCCCGGCGAAUAACGUCGCCGCCGCCCCAGCUCGUCGGAUUUCCGCUCCUCCGUCGUUCUCCCUGCCUCAGGAAUCGAUGAUUCAAGGAAUCUCCAGUUCGUUUACUGCUCAAGAUCCAAUUUUUUUAUAUGUUAAAAGUCUGUUUUUCUUUAUUGCUUAUUGAGAAACUGAGGCUGUGUUUGUGAAAUAGUAAUAGAGAUGUGUCUUUAACAAGUAUUAUUACUGUUUUCACUAUUCUUGGUUGCUUUCCUGUACAUGAAGAAUUUACUGUAUUGAAAAGAAAGACUACCUUCUUUA